AUCUGGCUGGCGAGUCCUGAUUAGGACGAAACGCGCGUCCUGGAU
rnacentral:hammerhead_ribozyme from 1 species